rnacentral:tRNA from 1 species
GAAGGUUUAGUUAAAAAUAACAUUAGAAUGUCAAACUAAAAUUAUCAAAUAUUGAUAUCCUUCU